GCCCGGCUGGCGUAAUGGUUAACGCGUAGAACUUCUAUAAAUUAUUGGUUAUUCUAAGAUUGCGAGUUCGAGUCUCGCGUCGGGUU